GACGGUUUAAGGCUUGCAUUAGGUUUAGUCACAGAAAGGACAGCUCUUCGCACCUGAUAGAGACAAGCAUGAAGUGAGAAAGGAGGUCUAGAAAGAGUGUACUCCAGAAUAACUGAUGCCUGGCAAGAUCAUAUAACAGCAGUUCAUAAGCCUAAGUGGCAUUGUAAAAUGAAUGUCAGCCCCACUGAAGUAAGGUCGGUCCUGAAGAGUUUGCUGUAUGUUUAUGUUCAAGAAAGAGAGAAAAAAGGGUACCUCAAUUACACAAAUCCAUAUCUUCUGGAGCAGGAACAGAUUGCCGCUUCUUUGUACAUCCUGAUAAUUGUUGGAUUUUUUGGCUUUCUGCUUUUCUCUCUGAUGAUGAGCAAUAUUGUUUCCCGGCAACGGGAAAACUACAUGGACUACCUUUAUCAAGAGAACUUUCCAAGAAUGAGAAGAAGACCUCCGCACAAUGGAACAUUGCCGGCAGCUGAAAAGAUAUCCAUGUCUAAACCUGCCAGUACUAGCCAGAGCCCAAAGACUGAUGGCAGUACAACAGAAGCAAGUCUGGAAUCAGUACUGAGAAAUGUAUGAAAGUGGAUCCUUGUAUCCUGUAUGGAUUAUUUUUAAUUGUGGGCAUUUUAAUUUUCAAUAUAUUUUCAUUUAAUUUGGCUCAUGGAAUAGUGGGCCUGAACAAUGCCGGAGCAGUUCCUUGUGAGCAUCUUCGAGAGUUCCUAACAGCUGGUAAACUGGCUGGGAUAUCUGGGAGUUGUAGGCCAAAACACCUGGGGACCCACAGAUCGAGAACCACUUUCCUAGAGUAAACUGAAUGGAAAGAAGUGUUUCUUGCUAAACAGUAUAAUGGGUUUCCCAUUCCUGCACCGAAUUGUCUGAAGAUAGACUAUAUCAAGCCAAACCUUGUAUGAAACGUAAUCUACCCAUGUAUAUGUUUGUUCAAUGUGUGUGUUUUUUUAUAAAAGAAGAAAAUAAUCUCUAUAUUUUGAAUCCAACUUUUGCAACAACAACAAAAAAUGUUUUUUAUGCUAUGGCCUAUGUAGGUGCACCUUAUUUUUGUCUCCUAAGUAUCAAGAUUUAUGAAGUAUUUAUUUGUUCAUGCUUGACAGAGAUGAUUAUCCUGAAGGUGUGAAAACAAAAUCAAACAACUUGUCCCAGCAAGAGUUUUCACAGUUUUUUAAAAAACCAAAAAUAUGAAGAGAAACGAAAGUGCAGAGUUUAAACAAGAUUUUGAAUGAAGGCUAAAUUAAAGCCAAAGGCUAUAUUAAAGUGAGUGCAGAAUGAAACACUGCAAGAAACAUGAACUGUUCCCUUUCCCAUGAAAUAAAGCCAAGCCUCCUUCUAAUUAUUGGCUGCUGCAGGUCGGUUUAGGGAAAUCACAGCUGGUGAAGUCAGUAUGUAGCUUAAGAUUUUAGUAGGCAUUGUAAAUGCAAAGUGAAUUUGGGAAACUUGCCAUCUGGGUUAAUUAGUUGUUCAUGCUGUAUUUUAAUAUGCUGUUGUUUCCUGUCCAUCAUCAUCUUUAGUUACAGGACCAUGUUAUCGUAUAAUAUACAACUCCAGGUUAGUAAAGCCUAAUUUAAAUCAAGUCUUAUAGAAGACAGAAAUGGCUCAAAUAGGGGAUUAUUGUCAUGAAAUUAUAGAUAUGCAUAAUUCUUCCCAUAUGCCUUUCCAACAAGACAUCCUCUGGCUGUGACUGACCAAAGCACACAUCAUUUCAGUCCAGUUCUGAAGCAGUCCAGCAAGUCGCUUCAGGUGCAAAGAAUUGGCCAUCUUUAAGGACGUUUGACAGGGGACGCCCAGAUGUUUUGAUGUUUGACCAUACUUGUGGGAGGCUUCUCUCAUAUCCCCGCAUGGUGAGCCGGACCUGACAGAGGGAGCUAAUCUGUGCUCUCCCCAGAUUCGAACCUCCGUCCCAUUGGUGUUCCGUCCUGCUGGCACAAGGGUUUAACCCAUUGCACCACCGUGGGCUCCUAGCCUAGGUUAAAGUGCUGGUUUCCCUAUCAUCUUAUCAUAGGCUAUCAUUUGUGGCUGAGAAUGAUUGUCUUCUAAGGGUAGAGUAUUGAUGGUGAGUCUGUCAGUGACUGUAGUAGAGAAUGUAUAUUUCUAAUAGUUAUCCCCUUUCUUCACGUCAACUAUGAGAAGAGAUAGAAUAGGAUAAGAUGCAGAAAAAGGCAAAUUCUAUUUUUAUAACUUGCAGAAAAUGUAUGUAUGCAUGUGCAGUCGACAAUUCUUCCCUCCCCAUUCAAGUGCCCUUCAGAUGUGGCAUUUAUACAUGGGGAAAGAAGAAGGUUUCAGAUCUAACACAUAGAAUUAAAGAAUCUUAGAGUUGGAAGGGACUGCGAGGGACAUCUAAUCCAACCUCUUUAACCAUUCCUUACAUUGGCAUUUCUUCUCUUUGUCAUUCUGUCUCACCCCAACAUGGCUCUUAUUGUGUCAGAAGCUAAUUGAGGAUGUAGUUAUAAUGUAUUUAAAAACACAAAGUUGAAAAAAAAACUUAGCAUUAUACUAAAUGCCCUUUGACCAGAAGCUGGCCACUUGGAGUGCCUCUGGUGUCAUUGUGAGAAGGUCUUCCAUUGUGCAUGUGGCAGGGCUCAGGCUGCAUUGUAUUAGGUGGUCUUUGAUUUGCUCUUCUCCCCACUUGCAUGUCAUGAAAUCCACUUUGUAGUCCCAUUUCUUAUGGUCGCCUCUGCAGCUCAUAGUGCCAGAGCACAGCCUGUUCAGCGCCUUCCAAGUUGUCCAGCUGUCUGUGUGCCCAGGAGGGAGUCUCUCAUAUCGUAUCAGCUACUGAUUGAGGGUCUGGGUUUUCGUCUGCCACUUUUAGACUCUCACUUAUUGAGGGGUUCCUCCAAGUGUCUAUGUAGAUCUUGGGAGGCUAUUUCUUGAUUUCAGGUGUUGUCUUGCUGGCUGAUAUGGGCCGGAAAUGUCAAUGCCUUGGUCCAAGGCAGGGAUGUGAUUAUGUUUUGCAUAGUGCACAAAGAAGUAAGCGAUGGAUGCUGAUAGUAUUCCCAGGGUUUAUUACUAGUCCAGAUAGAUUUAACCAGAUGGAAGAUAUUUUGGAAUCACUGGGAAUUUUGUCCUGGCUUUAAAGUCUACUCAGAUUUAAAUAGAAGGAAAUGCCACCCACCCUUAUCCCACAUACACACACCUACAGAUAUGACAAGUUGGUUCCUUGUUCAAGGCACUUCCUUCCCAGCUACUUAGUAAGCUGCAGUGUCUGGAGUUUACUGUGCCUUGCCUUUGUAAUUCAAAGAUGUAGGACUUUAUCACAAAAGACAAGAAAAUGGCAUUGAACCUUUUUAUGUGCAUUCCACUGCUGGUCUGUCUUCUCCCCAUGUCCCUGACUAUUAAUGGACGAAACCCACCAAUAGCUCACAAUCCCCCAAUGUUCCAUUCAUCUGUCAUGUACGAUAGGGUUGUUCCACUGCUGUGCCAACAUGCAAGCACAGCAACUGUUUUGUAUUUAUUAAUAUUUUACAUUUAUAUUUGCUU